CUCUCUAAUGCACACCACAGGGCUCUGGUA
rnacentral:piRNA from 1 species